AAGACUGUGAUUUUUAUUUUCUAUGUAUGCUUGAUAUCUUUUUAAAUGUUAUUGUGUGUAUUUUAAUUUUAUGUUGCCCGUCAAAUUUCAGUGAAAAAUGAUUUAAAAUAAAGUUUUUACGCGAUUAUUACUUUUCACUUAAAGUGAAUAGUAACUCGUGUUUCCGGCGAUGACCGAGGAAAGAGAUGGGCUUCGGGCGCGAAUCGGACUCCGUUCUGGGUGAUCCAAUAGCUCAUAUUCAUGGUCCGACUGUGCCGGAACCAAUGGCACUAACGGAUUUUAUGUUCGGUGCACGGUUUGCGAGAAAAUAGGUUUUUAUCGCUGUGAGGGCUUUUACUUCACAUUGAAUUUGCUUUUUCGUCGCGAUCGGCGCUCUGUUUUGCGUGGAAUCUUAUAAGCGGGGAUCUUUCUGUGAGAGAAAGCUGUCGGAGAGGGAUUGGAACGCAAUUUUUGAGAGUUGAGGGAGUUUUGGUGAUUAUUCCCAAGACUUUUGGGAAUAUAUGUUUAAUGUAUAGAUUUGGGGUUUUUGGGAAGCCAACCCUAGGCUAUCUUCCUCCCCUUCCCUUGUCCACCUGAGAGAGGGCCCUGCUGCCGCCAUCGUCAGCCGCCGGAGAAGAAGAAGCAACUUCUUCUUUUUCUUCUCUCUCUCUUUUUGGUGCUGUGAAAGGAGGGGGAGCCCAAGCCCCCCUGUUUGCGUGCCGCUGGCCCCCGGGACGGUCGUCGUCGUCCUCCCGGACUCCAACAACCCUUACCUGGCGCCCCCGUGCCUCGCCUGAGUCGUUGCUGCCGCGGGUUUCUCCUUUCGAGUAGCUCGGGCCGAGGUAAACCGAGCCUUCUCCAGCCAUGGCUGCCACCUCUGCCAACCCCCGGCGCCGUGGCUGCCGCCUCUGCCAACCUCCGGCGCCGCCUCCUCCAGCCUCAGAUGACUCGCCGCCGCUGCCUCGUUGCUUCGCCGCCGCCGCCGACGUCAAGCCACCCGAGCCGAGACCUCUUCUUUUGCUGGCUGCCUUUUUUGUUUCGCCGCUGCCACGGCUUCCUGCUGCCAGCCAGGGGGAGCAUGAGGCUGCCCUGCCCCUCUGUAUCCAACUCUGGCCGGCGCGCGUGCCGCUAUGCUGGCGGUGGUCGACCGGAGGUGGGUUGAUCCCUGUAUGGCUGACCUAAGGCUCAAAUGUGGCCAUGUUGCUAUUUCGGCCAUCUAGAGCCAUCUUGAACCUUCAAAAAGUGAGCAUGUCGUGCUCACCACGGAUGUUCCUGGGAAAGCUUCGUUUCAUUGCGGUGCCAUCAUUGCUCCCAGUGGACUUACUUCGAAGCACUUGUCAUUGCUUCGACGCGCUCCUCGACCGUCGAUUGCACUCCGGACAGCGAGCACGAGCUUCAUCUCAUCGAGACGAAUCAAAUUGGAUGGUUGGUUCGAUUUGUUGUAACGCAGAUUGGGGUCUGGUCAGCGUCCCUUGCCUUGCAGGAGCUAGACGUGGCGACGGACACAAGUGGGUACUCUAUUCCAUACUUUGAGCUCUUCGCCACAUGACUUCGACUCUUACUCUACUUAGUAUACUCUCUCGUUUGCCAUGACAUAGAAGUUGAGCGGUAGUGACACUUGCAUUUAUAUUCCUGUUGACCAGAGUGGUCGGUUCCCCUCUACCUUUGUCGUUGUUGAUCUGAGAGGUCGGUUCUCGUGGAUACACCCUAGUUGACCAGAGUGGUCGGUUCUCCUAUAUUUUUAGUGUUGUCGACCUCAUACUUUCUUGUUGACCUGAGUGGUCGGUACUUGCAUACUUGAGAGGAUGUUGAGCUUGUCCAUCCUAGUUGGCUUGAGUGGUCGAUGCUUGUGUUCCUGUACAACUUAGAUGACCUGUUAGUCGGUGUGCCCCGAGGGACGGUGAUUGUCGGCCAUUCACCAAUGGUUGGCCAUUGAUCUUAUUCGUAUCGAUCACCAUGCUUCACAGUAUUUCAUGAAUACCAGCAGUCUGAUUCCCCGCAUGAGAGUAUUCUUUUUCAAAAAAGUGGUUGGUUGCCAACUCCUGAGCCCAGCGGCCAUUUGCUAGGGUUAUAUGCCAGACAGAGCGGUUGUGAUUUGCCUGAGGUCCUUAACCGACACAACGGUAUAGAUUGGGUAUACUUGUGCUAUCAGUUGCAAUUGACGCAUAGUCAUUUCUCUAUCUUCCUUAUGGUAGCGGUUAUUCAUACCAUUAUUACGGUUGUUUCCAGUUCAGUUAUUAUUCUAUUGCACUAGUUUAACUAUUGAUUAUAAUUGAUCGUCGCUUUAUUAUCUCAUUUUACAGUAGUAGCUUCUUUGGUGAUUACCGGUGGAUAUUAUUCAUUGUCAUCAUGCCCGAUUUACUUGUUACUACUGCUGUUUACCCAUCCUUUUGCCGAUGGGUACAGUUUGCCUUCGUCGCCUUGUGGUGCCCAUUGGGAGGGGGAGACUUGUUUACAUGUUCUUAUCCCCCACUUUUCCAAGUAGCUUGGGCGGUGAGGGUUGGGACGGUGCGUGAGGACGUAGAUAAUGGGCUUGUGAUAUAGGUCCCGACUUACGGUAUCAUCUUUGGAUUCUUCUCAUAUUUUAUACAUAUCAGUAGAUAGACAUUGUUGAUAGUUCAGAUUCUACCCCUUUCCACCUGAUAGUAGGUGGUUCAGUUGGUGUUUUAUACUUGCGGGUUUUGGAUGAUGUAUUUAUGUGUUUUGGAUACUCAUGGUUUUGAUCAUUCGUGAUUUUUGAACACAUGUGGUUUUGGAUUCAGAUUUCUACCGAUGGUUUUCUAACCCUCGUGGUAGGCAUUUUUAAAAUAAUGGUUUCCAUGUGAAAAACGUUUUUAAAUGACUUUUUCGAGGUUUUACGCAAAAUUAGAAUUUCAAAGUGAAACCUUCAUGUGGAAGGCGCUUUCAACUAGUAGGAAUGAAUGUGAAAUUGAUGUGGAAUGGUUGUGACUAAGGAUGGCUAGUUGUAUGAUGUGAUAUGAUAAUAUUUGUGACUCGUGAUUGUUGUUUGUGUGGGUAGAGGUCAUGGUUGACAAUUGUACAUAUGCCACGUCGUACAAAUACAGAGGAAUUAUGUCCGGUUGUUUCGAAAAUUUUUUGUAUUUGUGGCGGGUCUAUUGCACCUUUAGGGGUCAAGGUUUUAAUUAAAAAAAAUGGACAGUUUUCUGCUUAUUCUGAUUUAUAAAGAUAGUCCGAUUUCGAAUUGGCUUUCAAUAUGGGCCCCCGGGGCGUGACACGUAUCCCCUCAGAUACGUCUACUGUACUGUACAGCGCCUGGGCGAGCAUUAAAUGCGGUCCCGCCAGGUUACGCAACCUCCUAGUCUUUGGAAUUCAAACCAAAUUGCUUGUGCUAUUCGCUAGCUCCGAUGUUUAUUGUUCGACUUUUCCAAAAUAAAUAUUUUGAAGCUAUAUUAGAUAGAAAACGCGUGGCAACAAGCAUAAUGGUGUAACGCGAAGGAAAACGGUGCAACAACACCCCAAACAGUGCAGUACGCGAAAAAUUCUAGAAUGCAACGAGUAUAUUAGUGACGUGGCGUAACAAACCAAUCAAAUUAAUCCUUUUAAGAAUAUAUGUCCCAUCAUGAUUGUAAAAAAAUAUUUUUAUCGUACUUUUGUUUGAAAAGAAGGAAUGUGAUUGGCUUGUUAUUGAUGACGUGGUGCAAGUGUGACAGUGUAGAAUUCCUCGCAGUACGCACCUCAUACCAGUGCAACUCUUUCCGUUUAUAGUGCAAUGUAGUGUCAACCAAUGCAAUAUAACACUCCCCCGUCAGUCAAUUUUCUUCUGCUCUUCCAACUAUCCCCUUUCCUAUCAGUCAACCAGUGCAAUAUGACAUUCCCUAUUUGGAAGGGAAUGUUUUCCUAUUUUGGAAGGAUAUUGCACUCUUUCUUCUUUUCUUAUUUUUUUUUUAUAUAUUAGAUAAGAAUUUCGUUUCUCAAAAAAAUGGUAGCUAUAAUAAUAACUCGUCAUUUAUAUAUUUCAAGUCAUUUAAUAUAUAUACUUUUUAUGCAUUUUGAAAGAGUGAUAGUUUGGCCAUCUUUUUAAAAAUCGGAUUGAAUCUGCAAAAUUCUAAAAGGUGGACUAUAUUUGCAAAAGUCGAAAAUCAAUAGAUUUUUUUAUAAAAAAAGGCCUUUUUUAAUUAUGGAAAAAAAUUAUAUUGAAGCAAAUGUAGUUGUUAAAUAACUUAUAUUUAUACUAGUUUAGGGGUCCCGUGUGAUGCGGCGCGAAGAUAAUACAACGGUAAAUUAUUAUAACUAUUAAUAUUAUUUUUUUUCUCUCUUAUGCAUUAAUAUUUUUAAAUAUUAUUUAUCUCAGUAUUGAAUAAUUAAAAAUAAAAAAAUAAAAAAAUGAAAUUAAAGUAUAUUUCUUUCUAAAAAUAUUUAAACCUAAUAAGUAAAAUGAAUAAAUCAAUUUAAAAUAAAAUGAAAACUCAUUACAGUAUUAAGAAAGAUAAUAUUUUUCUAUUAUCAAUAAAUAAAUAAAAAUACAAUAAAAAAAUAAAAAAUAAAAAAAAUGUGUAAAGUACAAUAUUUUCGUACGUAAUAUUCAGGGACGAGGCCAUGUAUAGGCCCACAAUGGCCAUGGCCCCCCCAGAUUUUUUAAAAUUACAAAAAGAUUUAGUAUUAAGUUGUUGAACAAAUUGAAAUAUAAUAACUUUUGGGGACCAAAAUGAAAUUGUUUUGAAAAUUAAAGGUUGCUUGUGGGCUAUGCAUGACGCAUGCAGCAAUGAUGGCCAGCCCCUAGGCGCCACCUGCCUGCUCACCCGACGCCCGCCUCGGCGCUUCCUCCCACACCACAAUCCACACGUAACCCCACACACACUCUCUCUCUCUCACAAUAAUCCACAUUUCCACUCCCACUACGUAACCACACACACACACUCUCUCUCUCUUUCUCUCUUUCUCAGUUCCACACUUUCACUCCCUCUCCCAGGCUCAGAGCUCUCAAAUUUCAAUAUCUCUCUAGCUCGCCGGACCGCCAGGCACCGGUCGCCGGUGGUGCUCGCCCGAAUCGCCGGACCGCCCGGCGCCGGCCGCGGGCCGCCGGUGGUGCUUGCCCCUCACCUCUCGGGCUUGGCGCCUCGAACUACGCGGCUACACCUCUCCGGGCUUUCAGUUUCUCUUGAAUAAUUUAUUGGUGUUAUGUCAUUGUGACUUGUGAGGUAUGCCCUUGAUUUAUUUCUUGUUGUUUGUUCAAGCGUUCAACUAUUUAAGUAAUUAUUAAUUUAUUAAUAUGCAUGCUCUGAUAGUAUGAUGCAGUGAUGCUCAAAUGAAAUGUUCAAUUCUAGUUCCAAAAUGCAUGCUCCAAAAGUACUAUAGACUGUAGUAGAUGUAGAUCCAAAAUUUUGAAUUUGUAUGAGUUUCUUCCUUAUGAUCAAGAGCUUUUUCUCUUCUCGACCAGCUAUUAGUAAAAUAAUUAGUAUUUGCAAUUUAUUUUUAAAUUUCAUUUUUUAUAUAGUUUUACAUGAUUUGCAAAUUAUCUUAUAUAAAUUAGAUCUUAAUACUUGAUUUUUUUGACAUAAUUUUUGUAGAUAUCUAGACCGUUAUUGUUUUAAUGGGAAAGACAACUACACUCGAUUCUUUUUUUAAAAGAAAAAAUAUUGAAAACUCGGAAGCUAAUAAACAAGAAGAUAUUUAUAGAGAUGAGGCUAUGGGUUCCCAAAGUUGUCGUUUGAAAUCUCCAAGAAUAGAAGUUAAAGAGGCUAAUAACAUGUCUUUUGAGCGUAAUCCUGGAUUACGACCUCAAAUUUGGAAUUAUCCUGUAGAACAACGUGAUGAAGUUCGACGAGCAUAUAUAAUCAAUGGUCUAUAUCAACCGAGACUUUUGGAAUAUCCAAAAAGUGGGCCUCCUUCUCAUCAACGUUGCUUUCAACCUUCAUGGUUUGAAUCAUUCAAAUCGUGGUUAGAAUAUUCUCCAAUCAAAGAUGCCGCAUUUUAUUUACCGUGCUUUCUUUUUAACAAACCACAUGGGCAUUCUUCACAAAAUGCCUUCACUGUUGACGGUUUCAUAAUUGGAAGAAAGUGAAAGAUGGAAAAAGAUGUGUUUUUCUAAAUCAUAUAGGUAGAGAACCAAACUCGCCUCAUAAAGUUGCCGAAAAAGCUUGCGAAAACUUGAUGAAACAAUCUCAACAUAUUCAAAAUGUGCUUCAUAGACAUACAUCACAACAAAAGGCAGACAAUCAUUUACGCCUUAAAGUAUCAAUAAUUGCAGUUAGAUAUCUUACUUUUCAAGGAUGUGCUAUGAGAGGUCGGGACGAAAGUAAAGAGUCUAUUUAUCAGGGUAAUUUUCUAGAAAUGUUGAAGGUGUUCUCUUUUCUUAAUGAAGAUAUUGCAAAGGUUAUUUUAGAAAAUGCUCUGCAAAAUGCUUCUUAUAUUUCGUCAGAUACGCAAAAAGAAAUUUGCAAGUUCUAGCGGAGAAAGUAAGAAGAAAAAUUCUAGAUGAAAUUGGCGACUUGAAAUUUUCUAUAAUGGUUGAUGAAGCUCGCGAUGAGUCAAAAAAGGAGCAGUUAGCUAUCAUUUUGAGAUUUGUUGAUGUACAAGGUUUUGUUCAGGAAUGAUUUUUUGGUCUUAUUCACAUCUCGGAUACUAAAGCAUUAACCAUGAAAAAUGCAAUUUAUUCCGUUCUUUCUCAUUAUAGUCUUGAUGUUCAAAAUAUUCGUGGCCAAGGUUAUGACGGGGCGAGUAAUAUGAGAGGUGAAUGGAAUGGAUUACAAGCAUUAAUUUCUAAUGAUUGUCCCUAUGCUUACUAUAUCCAUUGUUUAGCCCAUCGUCUCCGAUUGGCUUUGGUUGCGGCAUCUAAAGAUAUUCUUGAGGUUUAUGAAUUUUACUCAAAAUUAAGUACUAUUGUCAACAUUGUUGGAUCUUCUACCAAGCGAAAUGAUGAACUGAAAAAGCUUCAUAGUAUUGAAAUUGCAGAACUGAUUGAAAACAAUGAGCUUAAGACAGGAACUGAACUCAAUCAAGUUGGCACGUUGCAAAGGGCUGGUGAUACUCGUUGGAGUUCACACUUCAAAUCUAUUACAAGUUUGCUAAGAAUGUUUAAGGCAACAUGUACAGUUUUAGAGAAUAUUAUUGAUGAAGGAUCCAAUGCAUUUCAACGUGGUGAAGCACAUUUAGCUCAUAAGGCAAUGACAUCUUUUGAAUUUGUGUUCAUCUUACAUCUCAUGAAAGAAAUAACGGAGGUGAUCUAUAUUUUUUGUCAACAUUUGCAACGUAAAUCUCAAGAUAUUCUUAAUGCUAUGCAUCUUGUGGCAUCAACAAAAUCACUUAUUCAAAAGCUUAGAGAUGAAGGAUGGGAUUCUCUUUUUGACAAAAUAAAGUUAUUUUGGCGAAGUAUGACAUAGAAGUUCCAAUUAUGUCUGCUCCUUACGUGGGAAGAGAAGGUCGUGCUCGCCGUCAACGAGACCAUAUUACACUUAGAGCAUCACUAUCGAGUUGAUAUUUUUAAUGGUGUAAUAGAUUGUCAAUUGCAAGAAUUAAAUACAAGAUUUAGUGACAAUAUGAUUGAAUUACUCACUCUAAGUUGUGCUUUGGAUCCUAAAGAUGGUUGCAAAUCUUUUAAUAUUGAUGACAUUUGUAAUCUUGCGGAAAUGUAUUAUCCUCAAGAUUUUAGUGAGUUUGAAAGAGAUGGGUUGAAAAUAGAGCUUCGUCAUUAUGAAUUUGAAAUUUUUUGCGACAUUCCGACUUGCAAAAAUUGACAACUAUUUCUGAAUUAUGUCAAUAGUCGGUGGCAACAAGAAAGUCAGAAAUAUAUCCACUUCUCUACCGAUUAGUUAAACUUGUAUUACUUCUUCCAGUUUCAACUAUAACUACUUAACGGGCAUUUUCCGCAAUGAGUAUUAUCAAAACCGAUCUCCGGAAUAAGAUGGAUGAUGACUUUCUUAUUAAUUCUUUGAUCAUGUAUAUUGAAAGAGAAAUUGCCGAGACGUUUACUAUUGAUUCAAUCAUUGAUGGAUUUCGUGACCUGAAGGAGCGCCGAGCACUAUUCUAAUUUUUGUAUGGUAAGUAAAAUUUUUUAAAUUUUAUUUUGUAUUUUUAUACUUCAAAUUUUUAUUAUAUAUAGUUUGCUUUAUUAAUAUGUUUUGCAUAAUAUAUUUUUGGCCCCCGCCAGAAUUAAAUCCUGGCUUCGUCCCUGCACUCGGUGCAACAAUAUUCUAUGUGACUCGUCCCCGUCUAGCUGCCUCUCUCACUCUAGAGUUCGCCGCAUCUACUCCCUCUCCAACCCAACCCUCUCACAUGCUGGCUCCUCCAUUCCAUCUCUUUAUUAGAUCUUAGCCGCCGCCCACUUCUUCCUCUCCCUUAUUAGCCGUUACAUAUUUAGCUACCUUUUAUGAUAUAUAUUUGUUCACACAUUUUGAUUUAUUUUUUCUUUUUCUUUUUCUCUCUAUGCUUUUUGCUUAUAGAUAAUAUGUUUGAGUAAUUAAUACAAGCAACAUUCCACGAUAUGCUUGCUUACAAUUUAAUCAGUUAAUUUGCAAAUAAUUUGUGAAUUAUUAGAAAACUGAAUAAAAUAGUCUUUUAUAUAUAUAUUUUUAAAAAAUUUAAAUAAAAAAAUAUAUUUUUUAAUUUAAAGUUUUUACUCGUAAGAUGGUCGUACGCUCGUCUCCCACCCUCUCUCAAAAAGAAAAAAAAAAAAAAAAAAAAAAAAAAAACUCCUCGCUCGAAACUAUUUGCCCUAGCUCUCGCCACCCCGCGCCGCUCGCCAUCGGAAGUUCGGAUUCUGCAGAACCCUCCCCGCCCCGGGCCGCGCACCGCUCGCCAUUGGAAGCCCCCGCGAGGCCGAGCUCUGCUCGCCGUCGGAAGUUCGGAACCCCCCCUUCCCCCGGCCGCGCGCCGCUUUGCCGUCGGAACCCGCGCCGCUCGCAAUCUGGUUCCGACACUACUAGUACUAUUUUAUUCUCUGUUUUUCAUGAUUUUACUUCUUGUUAUGGGUAAACAACUCGUACCAUUUAAUGAGGAUAAUUUACACAUAUGACCAGCUUGCUUCGUAAUUUUACUUAAUCUGUUUAAUUUUGUAGCUCUUUAUUUUUAUAUUCUUAAGAAUUAUGAGUAUUUAUGCUAAUAGUAUAAAUCUAAAGAAAAAAAGUUUAAUUUAAUAGCUGAAUUUUUGAUUCCGAAUUUUUAAUUGGUGAACGUAUAAUUUCCGUAUAAAUUGUCGUAUCCGAAUAAUCGACCAAUCCGUUUUUUAAGCCGUAUUUUUCAAUGAAUUUAAAAAUUGGGAUAUGAAUUUUAUUCUUAUAUGCCCUUACCGAAUUUUUGCCGAAUCCGAAUUAACUAACUAUGGUUUAGAUGCACAUUGGAGAUUUUAUAAUUAACAUUGCUUCGAAAGUGGCUUUAAAAUGGUUAAUCAAAUCUGACUUGGGGCAGAGAAAUUGGCUAACCGGUUUGCCCGACCUUUGCUUGCCGGUUUGGAACUGGAACCGGAAAUCCAGUUUCCAGUAGAGUGGGUUGCAAGACCGGUUCCGGUUUUGCCUGAACCAGUUAAGAUCGCUUCGAGACAAAAAUUCUGAAACCAGUCUGGUUAACGGGACCGGGAAUUGGCAUGUGCUUACAACUUAGUUGUUUGAUAACAUCUCACUAGUAUUAAAAUAAUGAUAAAAGUGUAUCCAAACUUGCGUAAGAGUAGUUGCUUAUCUUCCUGAAACCAGAAAUAACAAUCUAAGGAUAAAACACUUGGAUCCACCCAAUCAACUUCAGCUUUCCCAACAGACCUUUAUAAUUACUGAACAAAACCUUAUGAUCCAACACCUGAAGGAAAACAUUGAAGCAUAUGUACUUUAUCGUCUAAUCAAGAAAUAAAUUUAUAGUGAAAGCCUUGUGCCACAGAAAUUCAGGCACCUUGCAAUAGCUAUGAAUUCCUUCCAAUAUGCACCAGAGUGUAACCACGGAAAUAAACUUUCAAAUUUCAAUAUCACUCUCUAGUGGAAAUUUCAUGAAUGUACGGAAUAUAGAAAACCUAAACCAUUUGCUAACAUCAAGUAGGCUCAGUUCAUCUGAGUGAUCCUUGGAGUUGUCAGUCUAAUUGGUGUCAUAUCGACCAAAAAGAUUUAGAUAAAUUUUUCUAUCAGUACGGGAGAGAAGCUGAUCCCAACAUUUUACAGCCCACCAGUUUCUUGAGUAAUUUUACAGCCCACUAGUUUUUUGAGUAAUUUUAUAGCCCACUAGUUUUUUUAGUAAUUUUAUAGCCCACCAGUUUCCCGAGUAACUACAUCGAAAUGAUUAUAUCAUUUAAGCCAUUGGUAAAAACAAUAUAUACAUUCAUGAGUAGAGGAAAAUCCCUAAUAUCUUAGAUCCAAUCCAUCUUUUAAUAAUAUAUGUAUUAAACAAAGUAGAAGAAUAUCUAUCCCAAGUCAUCUCUACUGGAACUGUGAAAUAGGCUUAUUUUUCUCAUAUUUUCUAUACAAUUUUGCACAAGCAGGUAGUUUUAAUUAUCUCAAAAGUGCAUAAAGAGACUGAUUUCUUCUAAACGAAUUAAAAUCUCCACCAAGUAAGCUUUAUAUUCCAAGCUAGCAGCAAACCAACUUGACAUGACCAACCAAUGACUUAUUGAUAGGUUUUGUUACUAAAAAGGAUUUCCGUGAGUUCUGACAUAGUCAAAUUUUCAAUAUACAAUAGAAACUUGAUACUAUGCACUUCUAUUAAGCUUUCUUUGUAGGGGCUUUGCUAUGUUAAAGAAAUUAUGUUUGGUAAUUUAGAGAGUUGAAUUAUCACUUUAAUUAGAUUUAUGAUUGCAGAAAAUGGUGUCAAAAAUAUAGUUUAGUUUCAAAACACUCAGCCAAUAUGUCUAAAUUCCAAUGUUGAUGAAAGUCCUAAUUAUAAAAGUUAUAUCUACAUGCUGGUGAGAAUCCUAAUAAGAAAAUCCGAAUAAGAACGACUCUUAACAGGUUCAUGAUUAAUACAAUUUAUAAACUUAUGAAUGGGAACCAAUAAAGCUGCUUUACAUCCCACGGAAAAAGUGGGACCUACCCUGAAGAAAAACGUAAAGCUACAGUAAAAAAGGCGGGGCUCACUUGCCUUUUUGCAUGCGGUCCACGAGGUGGGCUUCACCUCAUGGACCGCCUGAGAGAGAGAGUAGUGGACCUCUCUCUCACUCUUUGAUCAUGGUCCAUCAUAAAACGAAUAAAAUCAUCCGUUUACGAACCUUUCCCAAAAAAUCGGAAUAAAACGCGAAUUUUUCUGCUGCUCAAAGUAUUCGCGAGCAAAACGGCUUAGCUGAAUUAUAUUUGGAAAAAUUUGGAGUAGGCGACUGCAAAACGAUGAAAUUUCUCGAAAAAAAUCGGAUUGGGCGGCUGCGGAAAGAUGAAAUUUCUCGGACUGGUGUUGUGUGACCAUCGCUCCGCAGAUCUGUGCAUCUCCACCCGAGCAGUCGACCAACCCUACCUAUUCGAUUUUGAAAAAAACAUGAAGAUGGAGGAGCGACAGGGAAGAAGAAAAGAAGAGGGGUGAGGAACGAAAAAUCGCGGCGUAGGGGCGGAGGAUAAAAACGCGGUCCAUGAGGCUGAGGGCAGCCUCGUGGAUCGCGUGGAGUGGUGGACCUCUCACUCCCUCCCCCUUCGAUAUAUUAUAUAUAUAUAUAUAUAUAUAUAUAUAUAUANCUUUUAUAUAUAAUAUAGAUAUAUUAUUUUAUAAUUUUUUAUUUUUAUGUCCUUAAGAAUAAUAAUUAUUUAUGAUAAUAGCAUAAAUUUAAAGAAAAAUUUUAAUUUAGUAAACGAAUUUUUAUUCCGAAUUUUUAAAUGAUAAAUAUAAAAUUCUCAUAUAAAUUGCAUAUACGAAUUAUUGACGACUUCGAUUUUUUAAACUGUAUUUUCAACGAAUUUAAAAAUCAAGAUACAAAUUUUAUUCGUAUUAUAUCCGUACCGAAUUUUUACCGUAUCCGAAUUAACGAACUAUGGAUUAUAUUAUUAUAUAUAUAUAAUUUUACUUUUUUUAUUUGUAAAUUCUACGCUGAUGAUAAUAGAAAAAUAUUAUGCAUUUUUUUUAAUAUUACAAUGAGCUUUUUUUAAAAAUUUUAAACUGGUUUAUUUAUUUUAGUUAUUUAGUUUAGAUAUUUUUAGAAAGAAAUAUACUUUAGUUUUAUUCUUUAAUUUUUAAUUGUUCAAUAGUGCUUGCCGCAUUGCGCGGUUUCUUAACUAGUAUAUUAUAAUAGAGGGACAAAUGAUAAUAUAAUAUAAUAUAAUAAUGUUUAAUAAUAAAUAAUAAAUAAAAGUAACUAUGAUAUAUUAUAUGUUAUUAUAUAUAAGAAUAUAAGAUUAGCAUAAACAAAAUUUUUUAUAUAGGGUUAAUUGCAUACAGGUCCCUGCAAAUAUUGUGAAUUGCAGAUAUAUCCCUGCAAAAUUCAACUUUCAUAAGUUAUCUCUGCAAAAGUCCUAAUGUAUUCAGAUAUGUCUCUGCAGUUAGAAUCCAUUAAAAAAAUUUAGUUAACCGCAGUUAAAAUACUUAACCAUAGUUAAUUAAUGAGGUAAAUUGACAAUUUUACCCUUUUUCUUCUUUCUCUUCCUCUUCCUUUUCUGCUCCUUCUUCUUCUUCUUCUUCUUCUUCGUAUCCUCCUUUUCCUCCUCUUUUUCUCUUCCUUUUUUUUCCUUUUCCUUUUCUUUCUUCGAAUCGGCCACACCUUCACCCUCCGCCUCGUCGUUGCGGGCUUCAACCUCAUCCUCGUCAGCCGCAACUCUGACAAGCUCCGCGACGUCGCCGUCCACUUCGGCAACCCGAAAAGAAAAAGAGGAAAUGGGACAUUUGUGAGGGCAUUUUUGCAAACAUAUACCAGCUGGAGCUUUUGGAAUGACAUUUGUGAGGGCAAAAAUGUCAUUUCACGAACCUACUGUUAAAAAAUAAACAAUUCUCUAACGGGUGCUAACCAGAGGGACGUAUCUGAAUACAUUAGGACUUUUGAAGGGAUGACUUAUGAAAGUUGAACUUUGUAGGGAUAUAUCUACAAUUCACCAUGUUUGCGGGGACUUGUAUGCAAUUUUAUAUAUAAAGAGGAAUGAAGCGUGAAAUCUCCUUGUUCUAUGUGUGUAACGACCUGAUCUGCUAGCAAUAAUAACUCGUUGGGUUCAAACCACCGGCCCAAAAUGCUUAAGCUUAGUUAGUAUGUUUAGCCCAAUUAAACUUAUAUACUCCCACAUCUAGCCAUAACUAUCUGAUGUGGGACUAGUUAGGUGUCACAAACUCCUCCCGUUUAGGCUCUGACGUCCUCGUCAGCCCUAAACACACACAUAGCCCAAGAUCACUAGGCGAUGUGAGACUUGUCUCGCUAGCUUUUGUCAUUCUGACUCUGACUUAGCCUGUUAAUCACUGACUCUGGCUUAGUCUGUCAUUCCGACCCUGGUUCAGCCAAGACUCAUCUCUCGGCUGGUGAACUGGCUCUGAUACCAAAUGUAACGGCCCAGUCUACUAGCAAUAAUAACUCAUUGAGCCCAAACCGCCAGCCCAAAAUGCUGAAGCCCAGUUAUUAUGUCUAGCCCAAUCAAGCUUAUAUACUCCCAUAUCUAGCCAUAACUAUCCGAUGUGGGACUAUUGAGGUGUCACAAUGUGUUUCCAAGAACAACUCUUAACGGGUUGCUCUUGAACAACCUGCAUUGACUAGAACCAAGUUUCUCCACUUUUUGAUUGUGCUUGGGUGUUGACUGGGGGACAUGGCCUUUAUUACUGGGAUAUCCCUCAACCAAACAAUGCCUAUGAUAGCUACUAUAUAGAACAAAUACGUAACCGAUAGUUGGCUUGACAUUUUGAAGUAAAAUGUAGAUGUAUUAUAGUGUAAUAAGGAGUACUAAAAAUUUUAGGUUUAAGUACUCAAAUUUUUGUAAUAGCUUUACUUGCUGUUCUUGUGAUACAAUUUUCACAUUGUCUUUUCUAAUAAUUUUUGCAUACAUAAUAACUUUGCCCUCACUCAAAUCUUUCAUGUCAAAAUUCUGUGUUGAUAAACUUUUAACAUAUUAGAUCAUAUUAGUGCUGCUUUCAUAUAUUAAUAUAUCAUCCACAUAUAGACAUAUUACUACAACCCAGUGUUUUAAAAAGCGUGAGGCGCAGAAAGGCGCAAAGCCCAUCUGGAGCCUAAGCGCGAGGCACACCAUGAGGGACGCGCCUCAAGAAGGUGAGGCGCAUAUUUAAUAAAAAUAAAACAUUCUUAACUAGCCUAGUUUAAUUGAUGUUCUAUAUAAAGAUUCCAAAACAACCAUAAAAAAGCAAAAUAAUCGUGAAAAAGCAAAUCACAUGCAUAACUGUUCUCAAAGAGUCCAAAAAGGAAAUUAAGAAGAGAAUCAAAUAAAGAAUGCAAAAAGGGAAUCACACACAUGCAACUGAAAGUAAGAAACAGAAGAAUUGUUGCGCACCAAUUCAAAGAAAUAUGAAGUAAAAGAAAAAAACCUUAUGAAAACAUCAAAUCCCAUCAAAAGAACUAAAAAAAAUUCAAGAUAGAAAUUUUUUUUUAGAGAAUUGGAGUAUAGAGACCACACCAAAAUUGCUGUUGCUUACUAUUGCGUUGCUGCCUACCGCUGCUACAUUGUUGCCAACUUGCCAUUGGAGAGAGAUGGGAGGUGGGGAGAACAAAAGAGAGCGUACCGCUUCUGCAUGUUGCCAACUUGCCAUUGGAGAGAGACAAAAGGUGGGGAGAACAAGAGAGAAAGAGAACAUGGAGAAAGGAGAAAAAGAUUCUCAUUAGGAUUUUCUAAAUCCUUUUAUGGGUUAGAAUAUAUUGAUAAUGUCACGCUCCGGGCCCACAGCAGAAGCCUUCGGGCAUGCUAACAGAUCCGCUACACGUGCAAGGACGCACCCCGCACACACGAAGCGUCCAAAACUCUGUCACAAGUAAGCAACAGACUUAGGAGUCAACAACUAAGCGCGUCCUAGGAAUCCACAAACAAAUAGGUACCAGGGUCUGAAAACUAUAAAAGUUUUACAAGCACUAUAUAUAUAUAUAUAUACAUCCACCAGCCAUACAACUCUAGAAUAAACCAUAAAUACAUACAGAACUCCUUUACUGGCCUCACCAAUUCAUUCAUGUACAGUGUGCUAUAAAUAAUACCACUAUUUGGGUCCUCUAGUAGUCGCUACCUCGGUUAGGAGAAGCUAACUAUUACUCAGUCCUCUUAGCUCGAUCAAUAUCUAGAGCUGAGGGCUUUGAAAUAGAAAAACAACAAGGAUAGAGCGUGAAAACUACUGAACAGUAGUCUCCAGUGGGUACAAUCGACGACCACGAUGACCUAUCCACUAUAUCUACUAAGGGCAAUAAUAGUAAAUAAACUGAGCAAAUAACAGAAGAUAAUAUUAAGCGGAAAAGAAGAAUAUUGUCAUGACUCUAAUCUAACAAUUGGAAACAGUGAAUUAGAUAUCAUGCAUCAACUAUCAUAGCAGAUGGAUAUAUGCAGUAUAACUCAAUCAUAUCGACCGGCUCAUAAGUCUGGUCAAGCCUGCGUCUGCCUUAUGUUCGGCACCAUACUGACUCCUGAUCCGCCAAUAUGCAUGCUGCAUAUCUAUAACAAUUGCUAGCCUCCAGAGGGGCACUGGAGGGGCGCGACCCUAACGAGUAUCAUAAUAACUCUAUCAAUCUCAAUGUGGCUCAUGCAGGCUAUAGUUAAUGUGAUGAUUAAAAAUAUCACUAUAUACUAUCUGAGUGCGCUUGGCACAAUCAAGUACAUCUCACUACCCAAUACUGCCGCACUGUCCCGCUACAUUUUCACUAUUUAGCGUACAACGAUAUACCUCCCGUAUAUAAAUAAAACAUGAUCAUAGCCAGUAGAAUAUCAAUCAUCUACAAAUAACUCACGUGCUAAUUAAGUGCCCACGUAACAAAAUCAUGCUGCUAUUACCACAAGCAUACUAUUAGAUAAAUCAAAGAAUUAAGCAUGCGAAAAGACGGGAUAGUUCACUGAGUUCGGUGAAAUGGAACCAACCUAGAUCACUACUCCAAGGAAGGUGAGAAGACAUGCUCUACACCCUUCUUAUUGAAAGCACUAAGAAAUCUCACAAGAAAUACCCAAAAAAUCACUUCUAAAAAUCAAGCAUAAAUCUACUGCUAAACCAAAUUCACUAAAAAUCCGAAUAAACCAAAAUACACCCAACACCUACCUCAAGUAUUAGCACUGGAGAAGGACCAACUCAACUCCCUUCUCCUUGCUCAAUAGAAACACUCCCCAGCUUCGAGUGAUUCCAAAGUUCCCAGCGUACCAACAAGGAGGUAGACAAUCACCCCUUGGCUCUCUCUCCGCCUGAGCUCUAACUACGCCAGGAAAGGAAAAUGAGGAAGAAGAAGAUGAGUAGAAAAACGCUUAGAGGGGCCUGGGUGUAAACAGGAAAUGCGCCAAACACCUCUCUUCUAUUUAUAGACAGGAAGGAAAAAUAUCAUAAAAGCCCUUAGAAACACAAAUGAAUCAACCUUAGCCCAAAAGCUGGGUUUUGGGCGCCCGGAGCCAACAUUUUGGUGUUGGAGGCUGUCGUAACACUGUUCAUUUGGGUGCGCCCAACUGCAAUGGUACGCCCGAAGCCGUCGUAAUAGUGCCCGGUCGGAUUCGAGUGCCCGGACCUGCACCCCGAUCCCUUGCCGAGUCACUCUGAUAGUCACUUGCGCACCGCCAUUGCCACAUCAACCUCACCCACUCUCCAGGCUGCUAUAGUAAUAAAUGGGUGCUUGGAAUUCGGCUACAGUGCAACCGGAUCCACCUACGACUCAUUCAAGCAUUCGCAAGUGGGGUUCAAAACUCUAACUCAGAUUGCCACUUACGGGCACCCUAAACAAGAUUCGGGCAUCCGAAAAGGCACCAAAAAUGUAGGCUUAGCUGAGUUUCGAUUCCCGAGUCCGUUUUUGCAGCCAUAUUGUGUUAAAAUGACUCCAACUCAGUCCAGCACUUCACAGAUGUUCUGACCAACAACUCACACUAUAACCUUGCCUACUCGCCAAAGUGCAGUACACUACAGAUAAAAUAUGACACCCAAGAAUCCAAACCCUAGACCUUUUUAACUUAAACAUCACGAGGCGUGUGCCUUAACUACGCCUCGAGCCUUGCCCCUCGCCUAAGGCAUGCACCUCAGAGCCUAGGUAUUCACCUUAGGUUCUUCAAGGCGCUGAGGCCCACGCCUCGCACCUAGGCACCGAGUUGCGCCUUUUCAAACACUGGUACAACCUAAUCACCUAUUCUUUUACUAUAAACACAUUCAUUGGUCAUAUUAGUUUCAAAACCAUUUGAAAUUAUUAGAUUAUCAAAUUUUUUUUAAUGCUAUUGUUUAGGAGCUUAAGGCCAUACCAAAAUCGACUUAAUUUGUCUACUUUCUUGUCCUGAGAUUAGAAAUCCUUUUGAUUGCACAUUAUAAAUUUCUUCUUUAGUUUGGCAUUAAAAAAAUGCAAAUUUUACGGCCGUUCUAUGUGUAAUUAAUAAAAUGAUGGAUUUUAGGGCUAAUUGCAUCUUAGUUAUUGAAGUUUUAGCUUAGGGGCAUAACGUCAAAAUAAUCGACUCCAGAUUUUGGGUAAUCUCUUUGCUACUCAUCUAGCUUAAUAUUUCUUCACUGCAUCAUCAGGUCUUAAUUUCUUUUUAAAUAUCCAUUUACACCCUAUUGGUUUAUAUACAGGUCAAUAAAUUAAACCCCAUGUUUGAUUUUUUUUUUCCCUAAUUGAUUCGUUUCCAUUUCUCAUAUAGCUUCUUUCCAAAAUUCAACGACUGUAGAUUGCAUAGUGUCCUCAUUAGGUUAAGGGUGUAUUGUCUAUCAGCAUUAUAUAAAAGUCUUCUCCAAAAUUUCUAAUAACUCUUGCUCUUUUACUUCUAGGUUCUAAAAGUCUUGUUGUUCAUUUUCUUCUCAAAGCAAAUUCCUGGAUUUGCAAUUUGAACGUUAUGCUGUACAUCAUAUUUAUAUUAGAUUUAUAUGGAAAUCUAUCUUCAAAAUAAAUUGCAUCUCUGGAUUUUAUUAUUGUAUUUUUUGCUGUUUUACUUUCAUAAUUCAUUAUUAAAAUCUAUCUGCAUUACUAUUUGUAGCAUAUCCUGUAAAAUUUGCACCACAAUUUUAUUGCCUAUUUUAUUCCCUUUAUUUUGAGGUAUCUUUACUUUUACUAAACAUCCCCACACUUUUAAGACAAUUUAAAUUAGGUUUUCUAUUUUUUUGAUAGCUCAUAAAGGGGUACUCUAUUUAAAAUCAUGGAGGUAAAAAUUAAUGCUUCCCCUACGAGUUCCUGAAUACACCAAAUUUAAAAUAAUUGAAUUUAACACAUCCAUUCUUUAUAUUUUUUCUCACAGCUACUCCUUUUGAUUGAGGUGAAUGUGGAGUUGUAACCUCAAGUAUGAU
rnacentral:lncRNA from 1 species